AUGAACGCUGGCGGCGUGCCUAAUACAUGCAAGUCGAGCGAACAGACGAGGAGCUUGCUCCUCUGACGUUAGCGGCGGACGGGUGAGUAACACGUGGAUAACCUACCUAUAAGACUGGGAUAACUUCGGGAAACCGGAGCUAAUACCGGAUAAUAUAUUGAACCGCAUGGUUCAAUAGUGAAAGACGGUUUUACUGUCACUUAUAGAUGGAUCCGCGCCGCAUUAGCUAGUUGGUAAGGUAACGGCUUACCAAGGCAACGAUGCGUAGCCGACCUGAGAGGGUGAUCGGCCACACUGGAACUGAGACACGGUCCAGACUCCUACGGGAGGCAGCAGUAGGGAAUCUUCCGCAAUGGGCGAAAGCCUGACGGAGCAACGCCGCGUGAGUGAUGAAGGUCUUCGGAUCGUAAAACUCUGUUAUUAGGGAAGAACAAAUGUGUAAGUAACUAUGCACGUCUUGACGGUACCUAAUCAGAAAGCCACGGCUAACUACGUG
rnacentral:rRNA from 1 species